rnacentral:rRNA from 1 species
CCCAGACUCCUACGGGAGGCAGCAGUGAGGAAUAUUGGUCAAUGGGCGCGAGCCUGAACCAGCCAAGUAGCGUGAAGGAUGACUGCCCUACGGGUUGUAAACUUCUUUUAUAAAGGAAUAAAGUGAGGCACGUGUGCCUUUUUGUAUGUAUUUUAUGAAUAAGGAUCGGCUAACUCCGUGCCAGCAGCCGCGGUAAUACGGAGGAUCCGAGCGUUAUCCGGAUUUAUUGGGUUUAAAGGGAGCGUAGAUGGGUUGUUAAGUCAGUUGUGAAAGUUUGCGGCUCAACCGUAAAAUUGCAAUUGAUACUGGCAGCCUUGAGUACAGUUGAGGUAGGCGGAAUUCGUGGUGUAGCGGUGAAAUGCAUAGAUUUCGCGCAGAACACCGAUUGCGAAGGCAUCUGACGAAUCGGAGAUUGACGCUGAUGCACGAAAGCGUGGGUAUCGAACAGGAUUAGAUACC